GUCGAGCGCGAAAGGGACCUUCGGGUCCCCUGAGAGCGGCGAACGGGUGAGUAACACGUGGGCAACCUGCCUCAAGGACUGGGAUAACUCCGGGAAACCGGGGCUAAUACCGGGCGAUGUCGUCUGGCGCAAGCCGGCCGACCAAAUGGUAGCUUCGGCCUCCGCCUUGAGAUGGGCCCGCGUCCUAUCAGCUUGUUGGUGAGGUAACGGCUCACCAAGGCUACGACGGGUAGCUGGUCUGAGAGGAUGAUCAGCCACACUGGGACUGAGAUACGGCCCAGACUCCUACGGGAGGCAGCAGUGGGGAAUUUUGCGCAAUGGGCGAAAGCCUGACGCAGCAACGCCGCGUGAGCGAAGAAGGCCUUCGGGUUGUAAAGCUCUGUCAGGGGGAAAGAAGGCACCUGGGUUAAUAGCCCAAGGGCUGACGGUACCCCCAAAGGAAGCCACGGCUAACUACGUGCCAGCAGCCGCGGUAAUACGUAGGUGGCGAGCGUUGUCCGGAAUCAUUGGGCGUAAAGAGCGCGUAGGUGGCUUGCCAGGUCUGAUGUGAAAUCCUGGGGCUCAACCCCAGAACUGCAUCGGAAACCGGCUUGCUAGAGUCUGGGAGAGGAGAGUGGAAUUCCUGGUGUAGCGGUGAAAUGCGUAGAUAUCAGGAGGAACACCGGUAGCGAAGGCGGCUCUCUGGAACAGUACUGACGCUGA
rnacentral:rRNA from 2 species